UCACUUGCCCUCUGACCACCAGUAGUGAUAGGGCUUGCUUUACUCAAGGAGGAAGUCCUUAACAACUCGAUCUACCCAGGCAAACACAACAAUCAUUCAGCUUUUUGUUUCAUUUUUUCCUUAACCUAUCACCAUGAAACAAAAUACACACAUAUAGAAAUGAGCAAAGAGCUUUAAAUACUAGCUGCCCAAGAGAUGCUUAGCCUCCUGUUCCAGCCACUGGAGUUGAGGGGUGGAGGCACGUGAUGUCACGGAAAGGGAAUGCUCGCUAGUCUUCAAGCAGUCCCCUAAGGGAUCUUUGAUCUCAGGCUGAAUGGAGGAAGAAGAGCUUUUCUAGUUGACGCCUGUCACAGAGAUCUGAUGAAGUCAAUGUAAAUGAGUCCGCAGAAGCUUGAUAGCCUAUAGAAGUCCUUGAAAAUCCCGAAUGGCACGAGAAGGUUGAAAACUAGUCAAGAUGCUGAUAUCUUCAAGAAGUUAAAUAUAACCUAAAAAAAUUAUUUGUCACAGAAUAAGGUUGGUUUAAAAAAUUGUAAAGGGGAGGAGAGUGGAGAUUCAAGCCUAGAGAGGAAGGCUGAAUAAGAAGAAAGUAAUUGUGAAGUCAACUGUAAAAUAUUUCCUGGGUCUCACCUGGUAAAUCCACACGGGCUUCCUGAAAGAGGAAGGCUAGAGUUACUUUUGAGUUGCCUUUCAAAUGAUAAGCAGGGUCCUUGAGUAAACAGGAAAUGAAAGACUCGAGAGAGUAGCUGAGGAAGGAUGCAGAAGUGAAAAGGAGAGGGGAGCCAUCAGCACCCCAGAUUUAAUUUGAUGGAGAAUUUUCUCUAUUUGUUUAUGUGUGUGCCCGUCUUUAUUAGACUGUCUGUUUGCCUUUCAAGGGCUGGGACUGUGCCUCAUUCACCUUCAUAUUCUAGUAUAAUGCAAGCUUAGGAAAUUAUUGUCUAAAUACAUACACUCAGACAUAAAUGGAUGAGAGUAAGAAUAAAGGCAUAAGUGGUGGUAUUUAGCAGCAGCCUUGGCUGUGAGCUUAAGACUGUUUUUUGUGACCUGCCAUCUUCCUUUGCGCAACAACACAGCUCAUGAUGAUGUUCCAGAGCAUUUUGCCACCAGAAAAUGAGGCUUGCUUUUGGUCUUUUGAAGGAAGACUGCAGUGAACAGUUAAAUUGACUUUAAAUUUAGCAGCAUUGGGCAAGAAUAGAAAUGUUCUAAUCCUGUCUCCUCCUACGGAAUGUGAAUUGUGGUCAAAGUAAUAUGUUUUUGCCUUCUGUGAUUUCGAUCAAAUUUCAUAGGCCAGACAGGGCGUAGGGAGCCAGGCUGCACAGCCACUCUCCCUGGUAAACAGUGUCACACCUCCCUUGGACAGCCCAGGGUACCAUGUGUGCCCUGGCGUUACAGACACCUCACCAGGGCUUGUCUGUUCUCCCUGCCUUGUUUCUCAGCCCAGUGUUCAUGUGGAGUUUGGCUUCCUCUUCUUAGAACUGGGAAAGGCAACGCUGUGCAGGUGUGAGAGGUACAUACACAUGCGCCCAGAAGAUGCUGCCCCAGAAAAACAUACCCAGGGCCUGUAUUUGACUCAGAGUUUAAGGUCUUACUUUUCAUUAGAAAAUAAGAUCACUAGCUCUAAAAUUUCCACUGGGGAAGACUGGGUUGGCUUAGCAGGGCAGUGCUAUCUGAUGGGCAGCUGUAUUCUAUAAAGUAGAUGAGGGAAGAUGACAGAAUGGCAUGUCUGUGGGCAGAAAGCAGAAGGGAAAUUGGCUUCCCUUCAUAGGCCACUAAGGAAAGGGUUAUCCAGUGGCCUGCUGGAUUUGACACUAUCUGCCUGCCACAUCUGAGCUCAGCAUUUUUGCUUUGACACGCAUGGGUCAUUCUACCCAUUGAGCUUCAGCAAUUCCCUAUUACAGAUGCUUAUUGGCAACAGAAUCUUAAGUCCAAUAAAGGAGCAAAGAGAUUUUACUUUGGAAGGAAAUACUAUGGAUUCUUCAGUCAUUCAGAGGCCUCACCUCCUCCCUUAAUGAGUGCUCCCAAUGUAAAGGUAUAAUGACUGGCUAACUAAAUGCUUUGGGGGUAUAGGAAUGAGGACACACAUCUAGAAAAGUGGAUUUUAGAAGAAGAAAAGACAGUAUAAUGAAAACAAGUUUAAGAAAGAGCAAAAAUAAAAUUUGACUUAUGUAUAUCAAUUGUGAUGAACUGUAAUUAUGCAUUACAUGGAACAAGUCUACACAAUCAGAUAAGAAUUCUUCACUAAUUUCCUCUUUAUUUGUCUAUGUCAUAAUCCACACUAGGGAAGAAACAACCUCUACUUUUUAAAAGUCACAAAUAUUAAGCCUAUAAAAAUAUCAAUAUCUUAUCAAAGUUUAGCUCAAAUUUAUACAGGAAAACAAAGGUUCAUUCCAACCCACCUAGCUUCUUCUGAUGGUUUAUUAAGUAGUAUUUAAGAAAAUUGAGUCUCAUAUUAUCUGGCCAAAAGAUAUUUUUCUUGCCUCUGUAUUAUUAAACAACACUUACUGAGACUAUUCAUCAGAUGUCCAGAUUAAUCUUGACGGUGAAGAAUACAUGAACUCUAUAUGCAAUCUUAAAAAGGAGUAAUAUAAUAUGCUAGUUUUCUCUUUCGUGUCCAUUCCUCAAAACUUGAUUAUUAUUAGGUUAGGCUCAUCCUUUACUAAUUACCUUUAGUUAAGAUUUCUUAGUUUGCAAAAAUUAUUGAAUUUAUAUUGACUUAACUGAAUGAGCAUUUGAAAACUGUCUCUCAUAGUUCAUCAUGAGUACUGAAUUGUUCCUCCUCUUUUUCUUUAAGUUUCUUCUCUUUACUACAUAUUUUUCCCCAACCAGUUAUUUUUGUUGUUGUUAUUUGCUUCUUAAAAAUUCUGUGAGGCUUAUUUUUAGAAUAUUUUAUAAAUCUGGCUAUGUCUAAGAAUGGCAAACUAUGAUAAUUGAUGUACUUAAUAUUUGCUAACACAUGUCUAUUCCACUGUCAAUGAAAAGACUGUGCUUGCUUUGAUCAAGAAUUAGCCAAAAUUUGGAACUCUCAGAAAGCUAUUUAUUUAUUCCAGAACAAAGCAUUUGGUUUGUACUACCAUCAAAAUAUUCUAAGUGGCUAGUUAC
rnacentral:lncRNA from 1 species